CCUACGGGAGGCAGCAGUGGGGAAUAUUGCACAAUGGGGGAAACCCUGAUGCAGCGACGCCGCGUGAGCGAUGAAGUAUUUCGGUAUGUAAAGCUCUAUCAGCAGGGAAGAAAAUGACGGUACCUGACUAAGAAGCCCCGGCUAACUACGUGCCAGCAGCCGCGGUAAUACGUAGGGGGCAAGCGUUAUCCGGAUUUACUGGGUGGAAAGGGAGCGUAGACGGUCCUGCAAGCCAGAUGUGAAAGCCCGGGGCUCAACCCCGGGACUGCAUUUGGAACUGUAAGGCUAGAGUGUCGGAGAGGCAGGCGGAAUUCCUAGUGUAGCGGUGAAAUGCGUAGAUAUUAGGAGGAACACCAGUGGCGAAGACGGCCUGCUGGACGAUGACUGACGUUGAGGCUCGAAAGCGUGGGGAGCAAACAGGAUUAGAUACCCUUGUAGUC
rnacentral:rRNA from 1 species